UGAGGAAUAUUGGUCAAUGGGCGCAAGCCUGAACCAGCCAUCCCGCGUGAAGGAAGAAUGCGCUAUGCGUUGUAAACUUCUUUUCCAGGGGAAUAAAAUUUCGUACGUGUACGGGACUGAAGGUACCUUGGGAAUAAGCAUCGGCUAACUCCGUGCCAGCAGCCGCGGUAAUACGGAGGAUGCGAGCGUUAUCCGGAUUUAUUGGGUUUAAAGGGUGCGUAGGCGGAAAAAUAAGUCAGUGGUGAAAACCUUCAGCUUAACUGGAGACUUGCCAUUGAUACUGUUAUUCUUGAGUAUAGUUAAGGUAGGCGGAAUGUGUAAUGUAGCGGUGAAAUGCUUAGAUAUUACACAGAACACCAAUUGCGAAGGCAGCUUACUGAGCUAUAACUGACGCUGAUGCACGAAAGCGUGGGGAGCGAACAGG
rnacentral:rRNA from 1 species